ACUAGGGAUCGGGCAACCUCAAUCAUCAUGUGUUGCUCGGCACCUUANGAGAAAUCAAAGUCUUGGGGUCCUGGGGGGAGUAUGGUCGCAAGGUUGAAACUUAAAGGANUUGACGGAAGGGCACAACCAGGUGUGGAGCCUGGGUUUAAUUGGAUCAACAGGGGGAAAUUCACCAGGUCCGGACUAACUAGGAUUGGCGGAUGGAUAGCUCUUCCAGGAUUUAAUGG
rnacentral:rRNA from 1 species